UUUUUAUUCAAGUUUGUAACAGAUGAGUAUUUGAAAAAGUUGUUAGUAAAUAAUAUGUGAGACGUAAACUUAUGAAUGGGAUAGGCAGGGCAAAUAGUCUUAAUUCAUAAAAUAAUUCCGGUUAUCUUUUUGAUGCCAAACGUGUACCGUUGCGUAAUUGAGGCGAAUUCAAAUUGCGUAGGAGAAUAAUAAGGCACCAAUCGUGAUGGUAUUCGCAGUAUCUAUUGGUUUAAAAGACAUCAGAUCGCCCGGUGAUAACUGUUGUAUCUGGAAGUUAAUUUUGUCGAGAUCAACUAUUUCGUUUUCCAAAAUUGCCCGAUUGCUGAGGCAGUUAUGAUUCAAGUAAUUAUUCUGUAUAUCCUGAAAAAUACUCUAAAUCCAUUCAUUUUUUCCCGAAAAUAAGUGCAAAAAUUGUCUGGCAGUUUAAUGUAUCGCGUGAUUGUUCGGAAAAAAUUUAUGCUAUAAAUCAUUUUGUAAUCGUACGAUUUUAUUUAUGGUCACUCGAAGGAUUUCAACACAAAUGCAUUCGUAUUAAUCCCAUCCCCGAAAGUAGACCGGUCUGUUGGAAAUCACCAAAUCACAAAAGUAAGAGAGCACCGCCGAAAAGUUUAUUAUAUAUUGAAUGUUGAAAGUGACGAUCGCCCAUCAUCUAACAAAGUAGCUGCAAUGACUGACGAUACAACUGCUUUUCUGUUGGCAAGAAACAACGACAUUAAAAAUUUCUUGCCGGUUCUAUUGUACAUGGUGCAUCCAAGAAAAAAAACCGCCUUCAGCAGCAACAGCCAGUACAAUCCGAUCAUGCCUAAUUUUAUACCACAAAAAUGUUUAUUGCAGUUAUAAUAUGAAUCCUAUUUACACUUCAGGCUACACAUACUUACUUUACUGGCGUAGACACCGCUUACGCGAUUAUAGUCGAUUUAACAACAUUGCACCAUUCGUUUCUUCUUUUUGCUGUUUGACGCCAAUUGCAAAUACCAAGCGACACAGCCAGCUCCUUUUCUACCUGGUCCUUCAAACGGAGAGAAGGUCUUCCUCUUCCUCUGCUUCCACCAGCGACCACUUCAUCGAAAACGUCCAGAGCUCGAGUAUUCGUAUCCAUCCGGACCACAUGACCUCAAUGUCGCCAAUAACUCGUACAUUGGCUGCGAUAUUCGCCAUUGUCAAUGCGGAAAGGACCAUAAA